AGGCAUUGAGGCAGCCAGCGCAGGGGCUUCUGCUGAGGGGGCAGGCGGAGCUUGAGGAAACCGCAGAUAAGUUUUUUUCUCUUUGAAAGAUAGAGAUUAAUACAACUACUUAAAAAAUAUAGUCAAUAGGUUACUAAGAUAUUGCUUAGCGUUAAGUUUUUAACGUAAUUUUAAUAGCUUAAGAUUUUAAGAGAAAAUAUGAAGACUUAGAAGAGUAGCAUGAGGAAGGAAAAGAUAAAAGGUUUCUAAAACAUGACGGAGGUUGAGAUGAAGCUUCUUCAUGGAGUAAAAAAUGUAUUUAAAAGAAAAUUGAGAGAAAGGACUACAGAGCCCCGAAUUAAUACCAAUAGAAGGGCAAUGCUUUUAGAUUAAAAUGAAGGUGACUUAAACAGCUUAAAGUUUAGUUUAAAAGUUGUAGGUGAUUAAAAUAAUUUGAAGGCGAUCUUUUAAAAAGAGAUUAAACCGAAGGUGAUUAAAAGACCUUGAAAUCCAUGACGCAGGGAGAAUUGCGUCAUUUAAAGCCUAGUUAACGCAUUUACUAAACGCAGACGAAAAUGGAAAGAUUAAUUGGGAGUGGUAGGAUGAAACAAUUUGGAGAAGAUAGAAGUUUGAAGUGGAAAACUGGAAGACAGAAGUACGGGAAGGCGAAGAAAAGAAUAGAGAAGAUAGGGAAAUUAGAAGAUAAAAACAUACUUUUAGAAGAAAAAAGAUAAAUUUAAACCUGAAAAGUAGGAAGCAGAAGAAAAAAGACAAGCUAGGAAACAAAAAGCUAAGGGCAAAAUGUACAAACUUAGAAGAAAAUUGGAAGAUAGAAACAAGAUAGAAAAUGAAAAUAUUGUCAAGAGUUUCAGAUAGAAAAUGAAAAACAAGCUAAGACAAGUAUUGGAGAAGUAUAGAAGAUAGAAAAAUAUAAAGCCAAAAAUUGGAUAAAAUAGCACUGAAAAAAUGAGGAAAUUAUUGGUAACCAAUUUAUUUUAAAAGCCCAUCAAUUUAAUUUCUGGUGGUGCAGAAGUUAGAAGGUAAAGCUUGAGAAGAUGAGGGUGUUUACGUAGACCAGAACCAAUUUAGAAGAAUACUUGAAGCUAGAAGGGGAAGUUGGUUAAAAAUCACAUCAAAAAGCUACUAAAAGGACUGGUGUAAUUUAAAAAAAACUAAGGCAGAAGGCUUUUGGAAGAGUUAGAAGAAUUUGGAAGGCCUUAAAUAUAGUAGCUUAGUUUGAAAAAUGUGAAGGACUUUCGUAACGGAAGUAAUUCAAGAUCAAGAGUAAUUACCAACUUAAUGUUUUUGCAUUGGACUUUGAGUUAAGAUUAUUUUUUAAAUCCUGAGGACUAGCAUUAAUUGACAGCUGACCCAGGUGCUACACAGAAGUGGAUUCAGUGAAUCUAGGAAGACAGCAGCAGACAGGAUUCCAGGAACCAGUGUUUGAUGAAGCUAGGACUGAGGAGCAAGCGAGCAAGCAGCAGUUCGUGGUGAAGAUAGGAAAAGAGUCCAGGAGCCAGUGCGAUUUGGUGAAGGAAGCUAGGAAGAAGGAAGGAGCGCUAACGAUUUGGUGGUGAAGCUAGGAAAAAGGAUUCCAGGAAGGAGCGAGUGCAAUUUGGUGAUGAAGGUAGCAGGCGGCUUGGCUUGGCAACCACACGGAGGAGGCGAGCAGGCGUUGUGCGUAGAGGAUCCUAGACCAGCAUGCCAGUGUGCCAAGGCCACAGGGAAAGCGAGUGGUUGGUAAAAAUCCGUGAGGUCGGCAAUAUGUUGUUUUUCUGGAACUUACUUAUGGUAACCUUUUAUUUAUUUUCUAAUAUAAUGGGGGAGUUUCGUACUGAGGUGUAAAGGGAUUUAUAUGGGGACGUAGGCCGAUUUCCGGGUGUUGUAGGUUUCUCUUUUUCAGGCUUAUACUCAUGAAUCUUGUCUGAAGCUUUUGAGGGCAGACUGCCAAGUCCUGGAGAAAUAGUAGAUGGCAAGUUUGUGGGUUUUUUUUUUUUACACGAAUUUGAGGAAAACCAAAUGAAUUUGAUAGCCAAAUUGAGACAAUUUCAGCAAAUCUGUAAGCAGUUUGUAUGUUUAGUUGGGGUAAUGAAGUAUUUCAGUUUUGUGAAUAGAUGACCUGUUUUUACUUCCUCACCCUGAAUUCGUUUUGUAAAUGUAGAGUUUGGAUGUGUAACUGAGGCGGGGGGGAGUUUUCAGUAUUUUUUUUUGUGGGGGUGGGGGCAAAAUAUGUUUUCAGUUCUUUUUCCCUUAGGUCUGUCUAGAAUCCUAAAGGCAAAUGACUCAAGGUGUAACAGAAAACAAGAAAAUCCAAUAUCAGGAUAAUCAGACCACCACAGGUUUACAGUUUAUAGAAACUAGAGCAGUUCUCACGUUGAGGUCUGUGGAAGAGAUGUCCAUUGGAGAAAUGGCUGGUAGUUACUCUUUUUUCCCCCCACCCCCUUAAUCAGACUUUAAAAGUGCUUAACCCCUUAAACUUGUUAUUUUUUACUUGAAGCAUUUUGGGAUGGUCUUAACAGGGAAGAGAGAGGGUGGGGGAGAAAAUGUUUUUUUCUAAGAUUUUCCACAGAUGCUAUAGUACUAUUGACAAACUGGGUUAGAGAAGGAGUGUACCGCUGUGCUGUUGGCACGAACACCUUCAGGGACUGGAGCUGCUUUUAUCCUUGGAAGAGUAUUCCCAGUUGAAGCUGAAAAGUACAGCACAGUGCAGCUUUGGUUCAUAUUCAGUCAUCUCAGGAGAACUUCAGAAGAGCUUGAGUAGGCCAAAUGUUGAAGUUAAGUUUUCCAAUAAUGUGACUUCUUAAAAGUUUUAUUAAAGGGGAGGGGCAAAUAUUGGCAAUUAGUUGGCAGUGGCCUGUUACGGUUGGGAUUGGUGGGGUGGGUUUAGGUAAUUGUUUAGUUUAUGAUUGCAGAUAAACUCAUGCCAGAGAACUUAAAGUCUUAGAAUGGAAAAAGUAAAGAAAUAUCAACUUCCAAGUUGGCAAGUAACUCCCAAUGAUUUAGUUUUUUUCCCCCCAGUUUGAAUUGGGAAGCUGGGGGAAGUUAAAUAUGAGCCACUGGGUGUACCAGUGCAUUAAUUUGGGCAAGGAAAGUGUCAUAAUUUGAUACUGUAUCUGUUUUCCUUCAAAGUAUAGAGCUUUUGGGGAAGGAAAGUAUUGAACUGGGGGUUGGUCUGGCCUACUGGGCUGACAUUAACUACAAUUAUGGGAAAUGCAAAAGUUGUUUGGAUAUGGUAGUGUGUGGUUCUCUUUUGGAAUUUUUUUCAGGUGAUUUAAUAAUAAUUUAAAACUACUAUAGAAACUGCAGAGCAAAGGAAGUGGCUUAAUGAUCCUGAAGGGAUUUCUUCUGAUGGUAGCUUUUGUAUUAUCAAGUAAGAUUCUAUUUUCAGUUGUGUGUAAGCAAGUUUUUUUUUAGUGUAGGAGAAAUACUUUUCCAUUGUUUAACUGCAAAACAAGAUGUUAAGGUAUGCUUCAAAAAUUUUGUAAAUUGUUUAUUUUAAACUUAUCUGUUUGUAAAUUGUAACUGAUUAAGAAUUGUGAUAGUUCAGCUUGAAUGUCUCUUAGAGGGUGGGCUUUUGUUGAUGAGGGAGGGGAAACUUUUUUUUUUUCUAUAGACUUUUUUCAGAUAACAUCUUCUGAGUCAUAACCAGCCUGGCAGUAUGAUGGCCUAGAUGCAGAGAAAACAGCUCCUUGGUGAAUUGAUAAGUAAAGGCAGAAAAGAUUAUAUGUCAUACCUCCAUUGGGGAAUAAGCAUAACCCUGAGAUUCUUACUACUGAUGAGAACAUUAUCUGCAUAUGCCAAAAAAUUUUAAGCAAAUGAAAGCUACCAAUUUAAAGUUACGGAAUCUACCAUUUUAAAGUUAAUUGCUUGUCAAGCUAUAACCACAAAAAUAAUGAAUUGAUGAGAAAUACAAUGAAGAGGCAAUGUCCAUCUCAAAAUACUGCUUUUACAAAAGCAGAAUAAAAGCGAAAAGAAAUGAAAAUGUUACACUACAUUAAUCCUGGAAUAAAAGAAGCCGAAAUAAAUGAGAGAUGAGUUGGGAUCAAGUGGAUUGAGGAGGCUGUGCUGUGUGCCAAUGUUUCGUUUGCCUCAGACAGGUAUCUCUUCGUUAUCAGAAGAGUUGCUUCAUUUCAUCUGGGAGCAGAAAACAGCAGGCAGCUGUUAACAGAUAAGUUUAACUUGCAUCUGCAGUAUUGCAUGUUAGGGAUAAGUGCUUAUUUUUAAGAGCUGUGGAGUUCUUAAAUAUCAACCAUGGCACUUUCUCCUGACCCCUUCCCUAGGGGAUUUCAGGAUUGAGAAAUUUUUCCAUCGAGCCUUUUUAAAAUUGUAGGACUUGUUCCUGUGGGCUUCAGUGAUGGGAUAGUACACUUCACUCAGAGGCAUUUGCAUCUUUAAAUAAUUUCUUAAAAGCCUCUAAAGUGAUCAGUGCCUUGAUGCCAACUAAGGAAAUUUGUUUAGCAUUGAAUCUCUGAAGGCUCUAUGAAAGGAAUAGCAUGAUGUGCUGUUAGAAUCAGAUGUUACUGCUAAAAUUUACAUGUUGUGAUGUAAAUUGUGUAGAAAACCAUUAAAUCAUUCAAAAUAAUAAACUAUUUUUAUUAGAGAAUGUAUACUUUUAGAAAGCUGUCUCCUUAUUUAAAUAAAAUAGUGUUUGUCUGUAGUUCAGUGUUGGGGCAAUCUUGGGGGGGAUUCUUCUCUAAUCUUUCAGAAACUUUGUCUGCGAACACUCUUUAAUGGACCAGAUCAGGAUUUGAGCGGAAGAACGAAUGUAACUUUAAGGCAGGAAAGACAAAUUUUAUUCUUCAUAAAGUGAUGAGCAUAUAAUAAUUCCAGGCACAUGGCAAUAGAGGCCCUCUAAAUAAGGAAUAAAUAACCUCUUAGACAGGUGGGAGAUUAUGAUCAGAGUAAAAGGUAAUUACACAUUUUAUUUCCAGAAAGUCAGGGGUCUAUAAAUUGACAGUGAUUAGAGUAAUACUUUUUCACAUUUCCAAAGUUUGCAUGUUAACUUUAAAUGCUUACAAUCUUAGAGUGGUAGGCAAUGUUUUACACUAUUGACCUUAUAUAGGGAAGGGAGGGGGUGCCUGUGGGGUUUUAAAGAAUUUUCCUUUGCAGAGGCAUUUCAUCCUUCAUGAAGCCAUUCAGGAUUUUGAAUUGCAUAUGAGUGCUUGGCUCUUCCUUCUGUUCUAGUGAGUGUAUGAGACCUUGCAGUGAGUUUAUCAGCAUACUCAAAAUUUUUUUCCUGGAAUUUGGAGGGAUGGGAGGAGGGGGUGGGGCUUACUUGUUGUAGCUUUUUUUUUUUUUACAGACUUCACAGAGAAUGCAGUUGUCUUGACUUCAGGUCUGUCUGUUCUGUUGGCAAGUAAAUGCAGUACUGUUCUGAUCCCGCUGCUAUUAGAAUGCAUUGUGAAACGACUGGAGUAUGAUUAAAAGUUGUGUUCCCCAAUGCUUGGAGUAGUGAUUGUUGAAGGAAAAAAUCCAGCUGAGUGAUAAAGGCUGAGUGUUGAGGAAAUUUCUGCAGUUUUAAGCAGUCGUAUUUGUGAUUGAAGCUGAGUACAUUUUGCUGGUGUAUUUUUAGGUAAAAUGCUUUUUGUUCAUUUCUGGUGGUGGGAGGGGACUGAAGCCUUUAGUCUUUUCCAGAUGCAACCUUAAAAUCAGUGACAAGAAACAUUCCAAACAAGCAACAGUCUUCAAGAAAUUAAACUGGCAAGUGGAAAUGUUUAAACAGUUCAGUGAUCUUUAGUGCAUUGUUUAUGUGUGGGUUUCUCUCUCCCCUCCCUUGGUCUUAAUUCUUACAUGCAGGAACACUCAGCAGACACACGUAUGCGAAGGGCCAGAGAAGCCAGACCCAGUAAGAAAAAAUAGCCUAUUUACUUUAAAUAAACCAAACAUUCCAUUUUAAAUGUGGGGAUUGGGAACCACUAGUUCUUUCAGAUGGUAUUCUUCAGACUAUAGAAGGAGCUUCCAGUUGAAUUCACCAGUGGACAAAAUGAGGAAAACAGGUGAACAAGCUUUUUCUGUAUUUACAUACAAAGUCAGAUCAGUUAUGGGACAAUAGUAUUGAAUAGAUUUCAGCUUUAUGCUGGAGUAACUGGCAUGUGAGCAAACUGUGUUGGCGUGGGGGUGGAGGGGUGAGGUGGGCGCUAAGCCUUUUUUUAAGAUUUUUCAGGUACCCCUCACUAAAGGCACCGAAGGCUUAAAGUAGGACAACCAUGGAGCCUUCCUGUGGCAGGAGAGACAACAAAGCGCUAUUAUCCUAAGGUCAAGAGAAGUGUCAGCCUCACCUGAUUUUUAUUAGUAAUGAGGACUUGCCUCAACUCCCUCUUUCUGGAGUGAAGCAUCCGAAGGAAUGCUUGAAGUACCCCUGGGCUUCUCUUAACAUUUAAGCAAGCUGUUUUUAUAGCAGCUCUUAAUAAUAAAGCCCAAAUCUCAAGCGGUGCUUGAAGGGGAGGGAAAGGGGGAAAGCGGGCAACCACUUUUCCCUAGCUUUUCCAGAAGCCUGUUAAAAGCAAGGUCUCCCCACAAGCAACUUCUCUGCCACAUCGCCACCCCGUGCCUUUUGAUCUAGCACAGACCCUUCACCCCUCACCUCGAUGCAGCCAGUAGCUUGGAUCCUUGUGGGCAUGAUCCAUAAUCGGUUUCAAGGUAACGAUGGUGUCGAGGUCUUUGGUGGGUUGAACUAUGUUAGAAAAGGCCAUUAAUUUGCCUGCAAAUUGUUAACAGAAGGGUAUUAAAACCACAGCUAAGUAGCUCUAUUAUAAUACUUAUCCAGUGACUAAAACCAACUUAAACCAGUAAGUGGAGAAAUAACAUGUUCAAGAACUGUAAUGCUGGGUGGGAACAUGUAACUUGUAGACUGGAGAAGAUAGGCAUUUGAGUGGCUGAGAGGGCUUUUGGGUGGGAAUGCAAAAAUUCUCUGCUAAGACUUUUUCAGGUGAACAUAACAGACUUGGCCAAGCUAGCAUCUUAGCGGAAGCUGAUCUCCAAUGCUCUUCAGUAGGGUCAUGAAGGUUUUUCUUUUCCUGAGAAAACAACACGUAUUGUUUUCUCAGGUUUUGCUUUUUGGCCUUUUUCUAGCUUAAAAAAAAAAAAAGCAAAAGAUGCUGGUGGUUGGCACUCCUGGUUUCCAGGACGGGGUUCAAAUCCCUGCGGCGUCUUUGCUUUGACUACUAAUCUGUCUUCAGGACUCUUUCUGUAUUUCUCCUUUUCUCUGCAGGUGCUAGUUCUUGGAGUUUUGGGGAGGUGGGAGGUAACAGCACAAUAUCUUUGAACUAUAUACAUCCUUGAUGUAUAAUUUGUCAGGAGCUUGACUUGAUUGUAUAUUCAUAUUUACACGAGAACCUAAUAUAACUGCCUUGUCUUUUUCAGGUAAUAGCCUGCAGCUGGUGUUUUGAGAAGCCCUACUGCUGAAAACUUAACAAUUUUGUGUAAUAAAAAUGGAGAAGCUC
rnacentral:lncRNA from 1 species